rnacentral:rRNA from 1 species
AUUGAACGCUGGCGGCAUGCCUUACACAUGCAAGUCGAACGGCAGCACGGGAGCAAUCCUGGUGGCGAGUGGCGAACGGGUGAGUAAUAUAUCGGAACGUGCCCAGUCGGUGGGGGAUAACGUAGCGAAAGCUACGCUAAUACCGCAUACGAUCUAUGGAUGAAAGCGGGGGAUCGCAAGACCUCGCGCGAUUGGAGCGGCCGAUAUCAGAUUAGCUAGUUGGGUGGGGUAAAAGCUCACCAAGGCGACGAUCUGUAGCUGGUCUGAGAGGACGACCAGCCACACUGGAACUGAGACACGGUCCAGACUCCUACGGGAGGCAGCAGUGGGGAAUUUUGGACAAUGGGCGAAAGCCUGAUCCAGCAAUGCCGCGUGCAGGACGAAGGCCUUCGGGUUGUAAACUGCUUUUGUACGGAACGAAAAAGUCUGCCCUAAUACGGUGGGCUCAUGACGGUACCGUAAGAAUAAGCACCGGCUAACUACGUG